rnacentral:rRNA from 1 species
UAGGGAAUCUUCCACAAUGGACGCAAGUCUGAUGGAGCAACGCCGCGUGAGUGAAGAAGGCUUUCGGGUCGUAAAACUCUGUUGUUGGAGAAGAAUGGUCGGCAGAGUAACUGUUGUCGGCGUGACGGUAUCCAACCAGAAAGCCACGGCUAACUACGUGCCAGCAGCCGCGGUAAUACGUAGGUGGCAAGCGUUAUCCGGAUUUAUUGGGCGUAAAGCGAGCGCAGGCGGUUUUUUAAGUCUGAUGUGAAAGCCCUCGGCUUAACCGAGGAAGCGCAUCGGAAACUGGGAAACUUGAGUGCAGAAGAGGACAGUGGAACUCCAUGUGUAGCGGUGAAAUGCGUAGAUAUAUGGAAGAACACCAGUGGCGAAGGCGGCUGUCUGGUCUGUAACUGACGCUGAGGCUCGAAAGCAUGGGUAGCGAACAGGAUUAGAUACCCUGGUAGUCCAUGCCGUAAACGAUGAAUGCUA